rnacentral:snRNA from 1 species
AUGCUCACUUUGGCAGCACAUAUACUAAAAUUAGAACAAUACAGAGAAAUUAGCAAAGCCCCUGUGCCAGGAUGGCUCGCAAAUUUGUGAAGACUUCCAUAUUUUA